ACGAAGAAGGUGCUGUGUCUAAAAAUUCAAUUUAAACUAACUUUAACUUUAAGGUGAAGAGGCCUUUAUGUAAAAGAAGACGACAAGACCCUAUGAAGCUUUAUCUUAAUUGGAGCUUUCAGGCUCUUAUACGAUUUUGAUGGGAGAUCAGUAGAAAUAAGUCUUCUACUAUCGAUAUAAUCUUACUAGUAUUUCCUAACUUUAUAUGUGUGGCUAGCUACUCUAGGGAUAACAGCGCAAUUUCUCCCGAAGAUGGUAUUGGAGGGGAAGAUUGCGACCUCGAUGUUGGCUUUAGAUAUCCUAGAGGCGUAGAAGCUUCUGAUGGUGGCUGUUCGCCCUUUAAAAUCUA
rnacentral:rRNA from 1 species